GAUCAUGGCUCAGGAUGAACGCUGGCGGCGUGCUUAACACAUGCAAGUCGAACGGACUUAACUUGAAGCCUAGCGAUAGUUAAGUUAGUGGCGGACGGGUGAGUAACGCGUGGGUAACCUGCCUUAUACAGGGGGAUAACACUUAGAAAUAGGUGCUAAUACCGCAUAAGCGCACAGUUUCGCAUGAAACAGUGUGAAAAACUCCGGUGGUAUAAGAUGGACCCGCGUCUGAUUAGCUAGUUGGUGGGGUAACGGCCCACCAAGGCGACGAUCAGUAGCCGGUCUGAGAGGAUGAACGGCCACAUUGGGACUGAGACACGGCCCAAACUCCUACGGGAGGCAGCAGUGGGGAAUCUUCCGCAAUGGGCGCAAGCCUGACGGAGCAACGCCGCGUGAGUGAAGAAGGCUUUCGGAUCGUAAAGCUCUGUUGAGAGGGACGAGAGAUAUAAUCAGGAAAUGGGUUAUAGAGGACGGUACCUUUCGAGGAAGCCACGGCUAACUACGUG
rnacentral:rRNA from 1 species